GAUGAAGAACGUAGCGAAAUGCGAUAAGUAAUGUGAAUUGCAGAAUUCAGUGAACCAUCGAAUCUUUGAACGCACAUUGCGCCCGCCAGCAUUCUGGCGGGCAUGCCUGUUCGAGCGUCAUUUCAACCCUCGAGCCCCCCCGGGGGCCUCGGUGUUGGGGGACGGCACACCAGCCGCCCCCGAAAUGCAGUGGCGACCCCGCCGCAGCCUCCCCUGCGUAGUAGCACACACCUCGCACCGGAACGCGGAGGCGGUCACGCCGUAAAACGCCCAACUUUCUUAGAGUUGACCUCGGAUCAGGUAGGAAUACCCGCUGAACUUAAGCAUAUCAAUAAGCGGAGGA
rnacentral:misc_RNA from 1 species